GCCUCCGGAUGACUUUGUGAGGUUGACCUCCCUAUGAUGAUAUCAACAUCCUUAUGAGGUCGGCCUUCGGAUGACUUCGUAAGGUCGGUCUCCUGAUGAAGUCGGCCUCUGGAUGACUUCAUGAGGUUGGCUAAGCGAUGAGGAUCUAUCCUAACACUUGCCUCCCAACUCCCGAGCCCAAUUGCAUAGCUUUAAUUGGACGA
rnacentral:lncRNA from 1 species